rnacentral:rRNA from 1 species
UACGAAGGGGGCUAGCGUUGUUCGGAUUUACUGGGCGUAAAGCGCACGUAGGCGGAUCGUUAAGUCGGGGGUGAAAUCCUGGAGCUCAACUCCAGAACUGCCUUCGAUACUGGCGAUCUUGAGUCCGGAAGAGGUGAGUGGAAUUCCUAGUGUAGAGGUGAAAUUCGUAGAUAUUAGGAAGAACACCGGUGGCGAAGGCGGCCCACUGGUCCGGUACUGACGCUGAGGUGCGAAAGCGUGGGGAGCAAACAGG